GGGGCUAUAGCUCAGUUGGGAGAGCGCUUGCAUGGCAUGCAAGAGGUCGACGGUUCGAUCCCGUCUAGCUCCACCA
rnacentral:tRNA from 4 species